rnacentral:rRNA from 1 species
CGCAUCUGUGCAUGCAGCAUAUCAAUAAGCGGAGGAAAAGAAACUAACAAGGAUUCCCUUAGUAACGGCGAGUGAAGCGGGAAGAGCUCAAAUUUGAAAUCUUCAAGGUUUUACCUUGACGAAUUGUAGUUUAAAGAAGUGUUUUCUGUUGAAGUUUUGGUAAAAGUUCUUUGGAAUAGGACAUCAUAGAGGGUGAGAAUCCCGUAUUUGACCAUUAUUUUCAGCUGUGUGAUACACUUUCAAAGAGUCGGAUUGUUUGGGAAUGCAGUCCAAAAUGGGUGGUAAAUUUCAUCUAAAGCUAAAUAUUGGCGAGAGACCGAUAGCGAACAAGUACCGUGAGGGAAAGAUGAAAAGAACUUUGAAAAGAGAGUUAAACAGUACGUGAAAUUGUCAAAAGGGAAGCGUUUGACACCAGUGUUGUUUUCUCGAAAAUCAAUUAAAAAGAGUUGAUUAUGUUGUGUAUUGACCUUAACAGCUUGCAUUUCAAUUUUCUUGCUUUUUUUAAUGCACUUUUCGUUUAACAAGUCAACAUCAGUUCCUUUUGUUGUAAAAAGGUCAUUGGAAGGUGGCUUUCUUUUCGGAGAAAGUGUUUAUAGCCUUUGACUCCUGCAAUCGGAGAGACUGAGGUCUGCAGCGUAGAUCCUUCGGGGUUAGAUACAUUUGUGCUAAGUUAUAGCUUUUUAUAGACAACUUGUUGACUAUGAUUAGUCUUGUAGCUUACUCGCUUAUGCUAUUUUACCUACGCUUAGGAUGUUGACACACGCGCGUGCUCG